CGGAACGUGCCCAGUCGUGGGGGAUAACUACGCGAAAGCGUAGCUAAUACCGCAUACGAUCUAUGGAUGAAAGCGGGGGAUCGCAAGACCUCGCGCGAUUGGAGCGGCCGAUGGCAGAUUAGGUAGUUGGUGGGGUAAAGGCUCACCAAGCCGACGAUCUGUAGCUGGUCUGAGAGGACGACCAGCCACACUGGGACUGAGACACGGCCCAGACUCCUACGGGAGGCAGCAGUGGGGAAUUUUGGACAAUGGGCGCAAGCCUGAUCCAGCCAUGCCGCGUGCAGGAUGAAGGCCUUCGGGUUGUAAACUGCUUUUGUACGGAACGAAAAGUCUCUUUCUAAUAAAGAGAGAUCAUGACGGUACCGUAAGAAUAAGCACCGGCUAACUACGUGCCAGCAGCCGCGGUAAUACGUAGGGUGCAAGCGUUAAUCGGAAUUACUGGGCGUAAAGCGUGCGCAGGCGGUGAUGUAAGACAGUUGUGAAAUCCCCGGGCUCAACCUGGGAACUGCAUCUGUGACUGCAUCGCUGGAGUGCGGCAGAGGGGGAUGGAAUUCCGCGU
rnacentral:rRNA from 1 species